GCUCUCGUCGUUCAAUGGACAGGACGCAAGAUUGCGGAUCUUGUAAUGUGGGUUCGAUUCCCGCCGAGAGCA
rnacentral:tRNA from 1 species